rnacentral:rRNA from 1 species
UUGUCGCACGGAAAGCCUUUUCGGAGUACUCGAGUGGCGAACGGGUGAGUAACACGUGGGUGAUCUGCCCUGCACUCUGGGAUAAGCCUGGGAAACUGGGUCUAAUACCGGAUAGGACCGCACUUUAGUGUGUGUGGUGGAAAGUUUUUUCGGUGUAGGAUGAGCCCGCGGCCUAUCAGCUUGUUGGUGGGGUAAUGGCCUACCAAGGCGGCGACGGGUAGCCGGACUGAGAGGUUGGUCGGCCACAUUGGGACUGAGAUACGGCCCAGACUCCUACGGGAGGCAGCAGUGGGGAAUAUUGCACAAUGGGCGCAAGCCUGAUGCAGCGGCGCCGCGUGGGGGAUGACGGCCUUCGGGUUGUAAACUCCUUUCGCCAGGGACGAAGCGUUUUGUGACGGUACCUGGAGAAGAAGCACCGGCUAACUACGUGCCAGCAGCCGCGGUAAUACGUAGGGUGCAAGCGUUGUCCGGAAUUACUGGGCGUAAAGAGCUCGUAGGUGGUUUGUCACGUCGUCUGUGAAAUUCCACAGCUUAACUGUGGGCGUGCAGGCGAUACGGGCUGACUUGAGUACUGUAGGGGUAACUGGAAUUCCUGGUGUAGCGGUGAAAUGCGCAGAUAUCAGGAGGAACACCGAUGGCGAAGGCAGGUUACUGGGCAGUUACUGACGCUGAGGAGCGAAAGCAUGGGUAGCAAACAGGAUUAGAUACCCUGGUAGUCCAUGCCGUAAACGGUGGGCGCUAGGUGUAGGGGCCUUUUGGGGUUUCUGUGCCGUAGCUAACGCAUUAAGGCGCCCCGCCUGGGGAGUACGGCCGCAAGGCUA